GUCCCCGUCGAUUAGUGGUUAGAUCAUCACGUUGUGGCUGAUACAAGUAACAAUCCGUGAAGACGCAGGCUCGACUCCUGCCAGGGACA